CGAAACUGUGGAUGAACCUCUUUAGAGGUUCGUGGUAGGAGAGCGUUCUAAGGGCGGUGAAGUCAGACCGGAAGGACUGGUGGAGCGCUUAGAAGUGAGAAUGCCGGUAUGAGUAGCGAAAGAAGGGGGAGAAUCCCUUCCACCGAAUAUCUAAGGUUUCCUGAGGAAGGCUCGUCCGCUCAGGGUUAGUCGGGACCUAAGCCGAGGCCGAUAGGCGUAGGCGAUGGACAACAGGUAGAGAUUCCUGUACCAGUG
rnacentral:rRNA from 1 species